rnacentral:misc_RNA from 1 species
GUAGGUGAACCUGCGGAAGGAUCAUUACAAAUCCACGUCUCACCCUUGAGACAAGUUGAAAUGUAGAAGAGAGUGUGAGGGGAUGAUCCAAUGUGUGGCGGUACCCCAAGAGAGUUAUCGCUCUCUUGGUAUAUUAUACACCAUUGCUCUCUUCCUCUCUUUUCUAAACACACCAUUCACAUACGUUGAUCAGUUGUAUUCUACUUAGUUAUCCACAACUUAUAACAAUGGAUCUCUAGGCUCUUGCAUC